CCCGGGGCUGCAGAUUCCCAUCGUCUGGAGGCAGGAAAAGCUGCCUGCAGUGUGUUCGUGUGCCUGUACAGAAUCACUCUGUAACUCAACCUGGUUAUUCCUUGGAGAUCCAGUGUCAUCCUCGUAUCCACAAUACUUCACAGGCCCCGACUACAAGCCAGAGAAACAGCAUGCUUUAUAUGGAGUCUCAUUUAAGCCCUUCAAUGAGUCUAGGAGAAUUCUCUUGCCAACCUUUGCAGCGAGAGAUAGUAGCUAAAUGCUCAGAAUUAAAGAGCAACCCCCAAAACCUGGAAAAGAGUCUAAGUGAACAAAGCCUGCCUGGAAUGGAAGAGCUCUGAGUGAAGAGAGUCAGCACAGAGAAGCAAACAGAGGACCCUGUAAGGACUACUUAUCAAACUGUAAUCAACAACAACCAUUAACAACCAACAACCAACCAACCAACCAACCAACCAACCAACAAUCAACAACUCCACCUCUCAGGGCCCUUUUUUAUAUAUUCCCUGAAAACUUUCCAGAAUUCCAAACACCACACAAUCGCAUAAAACUGUCUUCAAGUGUCAGAAUCAUGCCCCCACCAGAGCUCAAGGAAAAUCAGUCAGCUGCUUCGUACACGCUGAAGCAGCCCCAUGUCCCACACCUGGGAAUAAAAUGAAAGCACGUUCUUUUCUCUGUGUGUGUGUGUGUGUGUGUGUGUGUAUGUGUGUGUAUUUUAAGAAACCAAAAUUCUUACCACAAAAUGAUAUCUGAGUUUGCUUUCUAUUGCUGUGAUAAAUAUCAUGGGGGAAAAAAAAAAACCCAAAACAAAAAACCACCAACACCACCAAAACGUGGGGAAGAGAGUUUAUUUAGCUUACUUUUCCAGGGCAUAGUCCAUCUUUGAGAGUUAUGGGGCAGUGAACUGUGCACAGACAGCUUGUCCCAGUUGAGCACAGGCCUUGAACUCUGGAGACCUGGUGGGUGGUGACUUUUGCCUUCAUGGGACCAUAGGAGUUCAGCCAUGCCUCUGGGGCCCCUGGAUCCAGUCGCUGCUACUGCCUCCCCUACCCCUCAGAGGUCUGUGGCCAUCAGUCACAUAGAAGCAGCACCAAGCCCUCCCACAUGCUAAUAAGAUUUCCCCAAAGCUCUCAGACCAAACCAAUGAGAAGUACCUGUUGUCAGACCUUUACCCACCC
rnacentral:lncRNA from 1 species